rnacentral:tRNA from 7 species
GGGGGCGUAGUUCAGUUGGUUAGAACGUCUGCCUGUCACGCAGAAGGUCGCGAGUUCGAGUCCCGUCGCUCCCGCCA